rnacentral:sRNA from 1 species
AAUAUAAAGAAAAAAGGAAAAAAAAA